AAAGAUGCAAACCAGUGCCGUAGCGUGAGCGGAGACAAGUGCCCCAGCAGCGGGCAGCCUGCUUCAUCUGAGCUCCUUACCGACUCCGAUGUCGGAGAGGUCGUCGUCCAAGCUGCUAUGGCGACGACAACGCUUUGCUGCUCGGGCAAGAAUUUGUGAUUGUGACAUGUAUUCUUCUGAAAUUUGGUAUUGUGAGAUGUAUUUAUCUGAUUGUAAAAGGUAUUCUUGUGAUUGUGAUGACUGGUGUGGAAAUAUAUUUUUGUGAUUGUGAUGUGAUUU